UGACCCAAGCUGCCGCCUGGUGU
rnacentral:miRNA from 1 species